AACUUACCCUCUUCCUGCAUAUCUGAGCCUUCUUCGCGGAUGCCCGGUAUCCUAAGGCCCCCAGGGUAGCCAGCAGGUCCUGGGUCCCUCGCUCACAGUCUUUGGCCGAUUGGAGGAGCACACG